CACCACUGUCGUUUGUUCAUUUUUAUCAAGUCAACUUCCACAAUAACUUGUUUAACCACACGUUGCAUUGUCUCGCGUUCACACGUUGUCAUGUCUGAUAUUUACGAGUUGGGACGUGCCCCCAGAGGCACUAUAUAAAAAUGAACGAAUGAAUGGAAGCCUAUCUACUUGUUCAGAAGAUUAGCUGUAUGUAUCAGUGUUGGUUCUGAAGAAGCGGAGGACGUUCCGAGCAAAUAUAUCUGCACACUGCUGAAAAGCCUACCAAAUAGUGGGUGUAAAGACGAAGUUAACUGCAAUCAAAAG
ensembl:lncRNA